UUCUUUUACUGCUAUCCUUCUUCUCCUCUCUCGCAGAAAUCCUAGAGUUUUGCUUCUCUGUUUUUCUUUUCGUGAUUUUCUUUCUGUUAAUGUAGGUUAUAAUAAUAGACUGAUAUAGUUGCAGUUGAAUCGGAAAGACGAUUGAAUUAAUUAUAAGGACAAUAUUGAUGGAGUAACUAAUCUCAACAUCAUCGAUUUACACAAGAAGAAUCAGAUUGAAGUCUCUUAUACUAAAAUCCCAUGUUCUAUGGUAACUUGCCAAGGUGGUUGCUGCUGGUGCUAACUCUGUUCAAAUUAUCGGGGUAAUGGUAUUACAAUUCCAUCUCAGUACCAUCUAAGGACCGAAGUAGGGCAAAAGAAGUUAAAUACGAACUCUGAUACCGGUGCAGAGAAUAUUCAGAAUAACUGUAUACGGACAGCUGUUCACCCCAAGUAUCAUAUCGAAUGAUUGGUCAUUGCUAACAACUUGGCUGAGCUAGCUGGGGAAGGGAGUAAUAGUUGUAGUUAGAGGUGCUGGGUUGAUUGCAGCUACGGAAAAAGUAGGUCAGGCAAACUAGAUUUUCCACGUGUCCGCCAGAAGAGAGUAGUAACAAUCGCCGGGGGUGCCGACUCGAUGGCAACUGUGGAGAAAGUAGGUCGGGAAGAACAAGAUGUGCCACAUGUCCACUAGAGGAGCCACAUGACUCUAGCUUCUAUUUUGAUACCAGUGAAGGGAUAUUUGUGCACAUGGAUUUGUUCAACUACGGAAAAAUGUUAAUUUUAUUGUUAAUUGUUAGAUUGUAUGUUAUUUAUCAUAAUAAGCAUGGGUCUUUCGGCCGAACUGGGUUGUUUUUCUCCUUCGAUGCAGGCAUGUCUGAUAGAAUGAACGGGAAGAGGAAGUACGUUCUUAUUUUGAUAGCUUAUAUCCAGGAAACACACUUGGAUUUAUGGAAGGGAAAUUUCGGGCACACCCAGUUACAUUUACAGGCUUAUAAAAAUAUAGUAAUAUUUUUGCUCGCAUACAGUUACCCCUUGAAGCUGGACUGAGGGGUUCAGAUGAAUUCUGGAGAUACUUUAACACCACCACUUUGACUAUUUAUGAAGUAUUCUAUUUCUGCAUUCAUGCCAACACCACCAUUACGUCUCACAGACACUCCACGAAAGUUAUUCCUGUUCUGGGGUACUUUACAGGUCAAUUCUCUUACUCUCUCCCACUGUGUUUGUAUAGUAUCCUUUAUGGACAGGCUAUUAAUAUUAGCGACAUAAAGGUAUUGAGUUUGAUAAGAUGACUCCACUAUUUGAAUUGCUAUUAGAAGAUCGAUUAAAACAAUGUCUUUCCUUAAUUGGAUGUAUUUGAUCAACCCAUGAGGGGGAAGUGAUGGAAUCCUUAACUUAGCUGGUGUUUACAUCUUACUUUUCGGAUGCAAGACUUUCAAAGUUUUUUUACCAAUUUUGGGCAUUUAUGAUCAAUGUUAUAUAUUGAUGCUCGAAGUAUCCAUAUAACAUCUAGAAGUAGCCAGUGUCAUAAUUUGAGAUUCAAAAAAUCUGCUUCGGGAUUGAAAAUAUAUUCAACAAAGCUAAGAGUAGCUCAUGUGCAACUAAGAUUAAUAAUUUGAUGUUCAAUGUGAUCCAUUAACCGUUUUAAAGGCGAGUUAAUUAGUUUCAUACACUCGAUACACUGAUAACAUUGGUUCAUAUAAUAACAUUUUGUUGUCCAUGGGUCUGUAUGGUAUCAAAUACAAGGUAGGAUUAUAUAUUUAUUUCCAAAUUUGUCAGACUGACUGAGAUUGGCUCUAUUUUUUGUUAGAAUAAUGUGUACCAUUUUGUUUUUCCUGUUUUUCAUGAAAGUUACGAGUUAGGAUUUUCAGUUUAGGUAGGAAUUUGUUGAGAAUCAAUCAGUACUAAAGUGAAACGCGUUUGAUCAGAUUCUAAGUUUCGCAUAUACCUAAAUAUUUUGACUUUUUUUCCUUCCACUAAUUAUAGGAUCAAACUAUUUUGUGAUUAAGGUACUGUGGCACUGCUUAUGUUUGCAAUGUCUAAGCAUGUUGCUAUGAAAGACUGUUCUUUACUAAUAUAUUUUCUCUAAAUAUCUGAGGGUUUAUCUUGCAUACAAGUUGAAGUUCACUACAGGAGUAUAGAUUGGCGAGUUUCAAAGUAUGACUUUGAUGACUUGCUCCUGUUGAGAGAAUAUAUUGCACUUUAUGUGUUUGGGUGCUCGAGGAGGAAUGACACUUCUUGCAGUAGUAUAUUAAAUUACGUGAUCACAUUUCAAAGAUGGGUACUAAAUUACAGGUUGUUUUAGCACAUUUUCGUCCCAGGCCAGACUUACAUCCAACUGUUUUAUCUCCCGACAUCGAGGUCUUAGGUUUCGUUCCAGGAGAUACAAAACAUUGUUCUGCUUGGUACUGUUGUUUCUGACAACCCUGCUAAUCCAAAGAAAAAAUGGGUUGCAAAUGACAAGCUUCAAUUUUUGAGCGAAGGAGCAGCAGCCAAAGAACACGGUUGAAUAAUGUCAUCGCGACAUGUUCCCCGUUGAAAAGCUUGAGGUUCUGGCUGCUACAUGGACACCAGGGGAAAUAAUAAGUGAUACUAUGGAGCCUUUGAUGUCGUGAGACAGUUCACCUGGAUUUUUGAGUAGGCACUCAAUGAUCAUUCUUCAAGCUAAGGCUGAAAAGCUGGCAAGAUAAGCUUCAGAUGAGGGUUUUUUAAUAAAUAUUUGGUAAUAUGGAUUGAUGACUUCAACACUACAAUGUAGAACUCGGAUUUGUUAUCAGCGUACAUGAAGCAUUGUGUGAGGUACUUAUAUUUUCAGCCAUGACAUUGGAACUUUGAUGAAACUUCAAUAAUGAACCAGAAGCGCCACAUAUCACCAUGGUCAGGCUAGUUUUUUUUUUUCUUUAUCGACUUCAAUUAGUUUUGCACAUUUUUAUUUUAUUAUUUUUGUUUUUGUCUCUUUUAUUCUCUUUAUUUAGUAAAUAUGAAGUGUUUGUCUUGGAACACUAAUAUUGGGUACGAUUUAAAAUGGUUGCAUGAUGUAGAUGUCAUUCUCAUGAUCUGUUUAUUCAUUGUGAAAAACAUUGUUAAGGAAUGUGUAAUUUUCAAAUUUGCACUUGAUUUA